rnacentral:lncRNA from 10 species
AUCCUUGGAGAUCCUAUGGAGUCUCCACAGACAUUCCUUGAAGAAAUCAGAUGGAGCUGAGCCUGACACUCUAACCGGUUCUCUGGGUGUACUGCAAAGGUCUAAUAAAAGGCACCUUUGCCCGGUUGCUUCAAUUCUAGGAAGCUGUUCAAUGUUUGACUAUAUUUCUCCAUACUCAUUUGAAAACAGUUCAUCAGAUUGGAACGACCUGGAGCAGCCAGCAGAGUGACAAAUGAGGAAGAGGACAGAAUCUAGCUGAAGAAGCUCUGGAAGAUACCAUUUGAAGUCUUGAGUGCUUGAACUCACAAAGAAAGCACAUGAGUACACACUAGCACUUGAGCUCUUCAUUUUAAACAGAAUAAAGAAUGUACUGCUAUUAUUGUCAUUUUACAGAUAGGGAAAUUCAGACUCACCAGGGCUACUCAGAUACAAAGAAAAUGAGCCAGAAUUUCAAGCAAGCCUGAGCUUAGAAUCUACACUAUUUUUUUUUUUUUUUUUGAGACAUGGUCUUACUUUGUCACCCAGGCUGGAGUUCAGUGGUAUUAGGUUGGCACAAAAGUAAUUGUGGUCUCUGCCACUUAAAACUAGAGCCCGAAACUGCAAUUACUUUUGCACCAACCUAAUGCACUUACCAGAGCUCACUUACGCCUUGACCUCCUGGGCUCAAGUGAUUCUCCCACCUCAGCCUCCCAAGUGGCUGGGAAUGUGGGCAUGCACCACCCUGCCCGGCUAGCUUUUCUUUCUUUUUUUUUUGUGGAGACAGGAUUUUGCCAUGUUGUCCCGGCUGGUCUUUAACUCCUGAGCUCAAACUAUCCUUCUGCCCUGGCCUCCCAAAGUUCUGGGAUUACAGGCAUGAGCCACUGUGCCCGGCCCAGAACCUAUGCUCCUAACUGCCACACCAAUUGACCUCUAUUCAGCCAUUUUUAUUUCUAUAGCACUUGGUAUAAUUUCACUUUGCACACAGUAUCUAUAGAUAAUCAUUCCAGGGCAUGUAAUCGUCAUAAGAUUAUUUAUGUUAUUGCAUGUGUAUUACUGCAUGUAAUCUUCAUGUGUUAUUGCCUCUAACAAGUUAUGUAUUUCCAUGUAGUCUUCAUAACUGUGUAUAGAAGACCAUUUUAGAGAUGGAAAACUGAGACUCAGAAGUGGUAAUUGUCCUACUGGUCAGAGAUUUAGCCAGGGUUUGGAUUGUGGAAUGCAGAGGACCACUUACUUUUCACUAGACCAUAAAUGCUCCUCACCACUGAGGCAUGUCAAAUGCCAGAUAUCUCCAGGAACCUUAGGCUACGUCUCCAUUGUUUUUGCUUUUUCCCCCCUUAGACACAGCUUGGCAAAGAACAAAUGAUCCCAAACACCAAACAGCACACUUGGAAACAUUUAACCCGCAUACUUUCAGACUUUCUGGCAUGGACCAACCUCUUGUCUUACCUUUGUUCCUGGCCAGAAAGAAAUGGCAUGAAAAGAUGGACAGUUUUUAUAACCUCUUUGAGCUCUAAACCAUGUUUCCUGUGCACUUAGGAGAUCUUAAUAGAAACCAAGUACUUCUUUUAGGCAUCUAUACUCUUAAUGCCGUAAGUCAAGUCAAGUACCCAGGUGGUUAAGAUAACUGUACCAACAGAAACAUUUUUAAAAAAUAUCCUAACACAACAUGAAGUGACCAUCGCGAAUUCAAAGAAGCAGGC